UUGCCGGGAUAGCUCAGUUGGUAGAGCAGGGGAUUGAAAAUCCUCGUGUCACCA
rnacentral:tRNA from 1 species